ensembl:lncRNA
UGGAGAAGCGAGAACUACAUUCACAAGUCAACUUCUCAGCUCCUGGAGUGGUUAGGCUUGUUCCGAGCGGGGCUGUGGUUAAUGUCUUAUGGGGUCGGUGGGCUGGGUAACAGAUCCACAAUCCCACUUAAACCAAAUCUCACUCCAGGGUAAAUGGGUGUGACUGUGCUGGUUUUCAGAGGAGAAGGCUAGCGGGUUGGGGGGGAUGUGACCUGCAGAAUGAGGGUGGAGGAGGGGCUCCGGGGGGAGGCUGACGAACCUCCUUCACAGGAAGUUGUGAGGGUCACAGGGGAGGGGCUGUGGGAAGCUCUCAGCACCGUGCCUGGCACACAGUAGCUGCUCAGAUAAGUGGCUGUCCACUUGAGUUGGGUUCCCAGGCAACUUGCUGAGCUGGGUGGGGGUGGUACCAGGAGCCCUAGAUGCUGGGGGGGCAGCCAUCAGGCUCUUCCACAUCCUGCAACAGGGACCUCAGUACACCCUGGCUUGAGCUCAGAGGGAUUUAUUGGGUUAUACAGAGAAGCUCAGAGACAGGGCAGCCUCCAGGAGCAGCUUGACCCAGGGGCUCAAACGAGGCCACCCAGGACCUGCUUCUUCUUUCUUCAUCUUUCAGCAACUCUCCUCUAUGCAAGACCACUCUCGGGCCCCCCUUCCUGGUGGCUGGAUGUGUUCCAUUCAGAUUGCAGUCCAGUGGAGAAGAAAAAAGUUCUCUUUUUCAUAGUUGAUCAAAAGUCCCAGGCCACUGGCUCUAAGAGACACACCCCACCCCCGUACCAUCAGAAAACACAGAGAGUUAGGAUGUGCAGACCGGCUCAGGCCAAUCAGGGUCCAACCCAUGAGAGAGGUUAACCCUACCUGAGCCACAGAGGCUGAGAGUAGGGAGGGGUACAGCUUCCCUAGUAAAAGAAUGAAGGGGAACUCCGCCAUAAAAACCCACAGAUGUUCUUUAAUGAAUUUGGGGGGGGGCAGUAAAACAUAUUAAUAGAAACAAAAUAGAGGGAAAAAACACAAAUAGUUAUGUAUUAUGGCUCAUCUCAUCUCCUUUUCCCAAUAGUCCAAUGAUACUGGAGCUCCUAUUGUCCUCGGUAUAGAAUCCCAGGCUUUUAGGAUUAGAAGGAUCUUCAAACCCCUUGGUCCAACCCCCUCAUUUUCACAGGCAAGGCAACAGAGACCAAGAGGGCUUAAGUGACUGUCUCGAGGUCGCACAGCUCAGGGGAAGAUGGUGGCGUAGGAAGCACCAGGAAUCCUCCUGCUCAGCCAGAUAACAACAGUACUGGCAGGGUCUGUCCGAUGUGACUACUUUGGAAGUCUGGAGUCUUUUAAAGGCUGGCAACUUCUCCCAGGGGAAGUCUUGGCCAGUAAAUUGUGGUUAAUUUCAGCUCUUAGCUUAGUAGCAGCUACCCAUCCCCCACUCCCUGACCCCGUGUCAGGGGGCAGUGCAAGCGUUCCUGGAGCAGCUUGUACACAGCUGUGGGCAACAGGCCUCUGUCCUCCAAAUAUCGGGAUCUGUGUUCUGAUCACUGAUCGCUUCUUCUGACUGGGGAGGUGCGGACGCAGAGGUGAGCAGCCCUUGUUGCAAACCCCUUCCCCUCCAGCUGAAGUGACUUCCAGGGGACUUAAAGGGCUGGUGCAUUUUUUCCCCCUUAAUUUCUCUUUUUUCUCUUUUAGGACCCAGCUGUUUAAGGAGGAGGACAUUCAAAAGCAAUGCACAUACAGGGGAAUUUAGAAAGUCACUGCACAUGCCCAGAGGAAGGUGCAGGUGUUACGGGACGAGGCUCGUUUUGCCUGCUACACAGUAUGCCAAUCACUGAGACGACGAGGUUGCGGCCGAGAGAAAGGGUUUGUUCACAAGGCAGACAAGUGAGGAGGUGGCAGAACAAGUCUCAAAUCCACCUCCCCGAAAAUGGGGAUGAGGGAUGUUUAUGGGCUAUUUAUGGGCAGAGUGGUCUGAAGCACGAGCAUAGAUGCCUGGAGGUGAGAAGGGAGGCAACUGAUAAUCUGCACAGGAACAGUGAAGCUCCACGGCUCUUCAUCUCCUCAGAGGACACAUGUUCACAAAACGGCAGCGUUACCAGGAUCUGAGGGUGGAGCAUUCGUGCUGGCCCAAUGAUGGGUUCGUGGUCUUAACUGGCCUGAAGUGGACAAGGAGUCCACUCUCAGUUCCUGAAAAACAGAAGCACCGUUAUCAUGAUGACCCAGGUGCCAGAGAUGCUACCUCUAGGGUGGGCCUGAGUAAUGCAUCAUCCAACUGCUUCUGCAAACAGACCGCUGAGUAAAGUUAAAGCAAGGGGGCCCCCAGUUUCACAGGCUCAGACGAGGUCUGAGAAGACCUUAAAUUUGAAACCUUAAAUAAGAAAUUAAAGCUUCC